UUUUGCUGUUUGAAACAGCCGACGCGGGGUGGAGCAGCUCGGUAGCUCGCUGGGCUCAUAACCCAGAGGUCCAUGGU
rnacentral:tRNA from 1 species